CCCUUAGAUGUUCUGGGCUGCACGCGUGCUACACUGAUAUUGCCAAUAUGGCAUUCUUAUCCGAAAUGGAUUGGGUAAUCAAGUAAUGAAAUUUCAUGCUUGGAAUCGGUAAUUGCAAUUUUAUCGUGAACGAGGAAUUCCUAGUAAGCACUAGUCAUCAGCUAAUGUUGAUUAUGUCCCUGCCCUUUGUACACACCGCCCGUCGCUACUACUGAUUGGGUGUUCAAGUGAGAUGCUUAGACCCUUGUUGCAUGGUUCAUUAUUGUGCUCCGAAAGGAAAAAGUUUCAAGCUUGAGUGUCUAGAGGAAGUAAAAGUCGUAACA
rnacentral:rRNA from 1 species